rnacentral:rRNA from 1 species
CCUACGGGUGGCAGCAGUGAGGAAUAUUGGUCAAUGGGCGAGAGCCUGAACCAGCCAAGUCGCGUGAGGGAAGACGGUCCUAUGGAUUGUAAACCUCUUUUGCCGGGGAGCAAAAAGCGGUACGUGUACCGCAUCGAGAGUACCCGGAGAAAAAGCAUCGGCUAACUCCGUGCCAGCAGCCGCGGUAAUACGGAGGAUGCGAGCGUUAUCCGGAUUUAUUGGGUUUAAAGGGUGCGCAGGCGGCGAGUUAAGUCAGCGGUAAAAUUUCGGGGCUCAACCCCGACGAGCCGUUGAAACUGGCUGGCUAGAGGGGGCGAGAGGUAUGCGGAAGGCGUGGGGUAGCGGUGAAAUGCAUAGAUAUCACGCAGAACUCCGAUGGCGAAGGCAGCAUACCGGCGCCCAACUGACGCUCAGGCACGAAAGCGUGGGUAUCGAACAGGAUUAGAUACCCUUGUAGUC